GGAUCCCAUCAGAACUCCGCAGUUAAGCGUGCUUGGGCGAGAGUA
rnacentral:rRNA from 1 species